UGGGGGGUAUCAACCUCACAGAUGUAGUAGACCUCAUGAAUGCUUGGGUUCAGGGUCAGGGUUGGGGACUGGGGUGAAGGGCCUACCACUCUCGCCAGGCUUCCUGGCCACUCAAACUGCCUCUUUGUUCUCCAGUUUCUUGCUGUGGCUGUGGAAGUUCUAAAGGGCACUUGGCUCCUGCAAUUCAUCAAUGGUCCAGCAUCAAUAUAAUGAAGGGGACCCAGAUGAUAUAAUACAGGUGGAUGUCGGAGUCCUGAUGACAGGAAGAGAUGGAUCAGUGCAUUUCCCUUCCCAGAACCUUCUCACCAACCUUUCUGGCCAUGAAGACUACCACUCCUUUAGUGAGGACCCAGAGCAGCUGAUCCCCAUGGAGAUGAGGAAUCAAGAGUGGAGCUUCCAUCUAUAAAGGAAGGUUCCCACUGUGGCUGUUGAAGUUGCAAAGGACACUUGGCUCCUGCAAUCCAUCAGUGGUCCAGCAUCUGUUUGUUGGGGAGUCCCAGAUGAUACAACAUAGGUAAGGGAAGGAUAUGAGUAAAAAGAUAUCUACAUGAUGUGUGGCGAAGGCUUCAGUGCU